UCAUCAGUCUCCACUCCCUCCCAUCCCCAGUGCAUUUUAGCACCCACCACACCCGGACGACACCGUUUCUGAAAUGGCGGCGUCAGCUUCGUCGGCAAGCCUCCAACUGUCGUCGCCGUCCACCACCGCCACAUGGCUGCGCCACCGGCCCCUCGGCCUCAGCAGCCUCUCUCUCCGCCACCACCGCGACCUCCAGCCCCGCCGCCUCGUCGUCCUCUCCAUGGACGCCAAGCCGACGAUUCUCGUGUCGGAGAAACUGGGAGAGGCCGGCCUCAACCUCCUCAAGGAGUUCGCCAACGUUGAUUGCUCCUACAACCUCAGCCCCGAGGAGCUCUGCACCAAGAUCUCCCUCUGCGAUGCCCUCAUUGUCAGGAGCGGCACCAAAGUGAACCGCGACGUCUUCGAGUCCUCCGCCGGCAGGCUCAAGGUCGUCGGCAGGGCUGGCGUCGGGAUCGACAACGUGGAUCUGGCCGCCGCCACCGAGCACGGCUGCCUCGUCGUCAAUGCUCCCACUGCCAACACCGUCGCCGCCGCCGAGCACGGCAUAGCUCUGCUUACUGCCAUGGCCAGGAACAUCGCUCAAGCCGACGCUUCUGUUAAAGCUGGUAAAUGGGAGAGGAACAAAUACGUUGGUGUGUCUCUUGUUGGUAAGACACUGGCAGUGAUGGGCUUUGGUAAGGUUGGAUCAGAAGUUGCUAGGCGUGCCAAGGGGCUCGGUAUGCAUGUCAUUGCGCACGAUCCCUAUGCCCCAGCUGACCGUGCUCAUGCAAUAGGCGUACAACUUGUGAGCUUUGAUGUGGCUAUUUCAACAGCUGAUUUCAUAUCACUUCACAUGCCCCUCACCGCUGCUACUUCUAAAAUUCUCAAUGAUGAAAAUUUUGCAAAGAUGAAAAAGGGUGUUAGAAUAAUAAAUGUUGCUCGUGGAGGUGUGAUUGAUGAAGAAGCAUUGGUGAAGGCCAUUGAUGCUGGCAUUGUAGCACAGGCUGCACUGGAUGUCUUCACAGUCGAGCCACCGCCCAAGGAUAGCAAGUUGGUACAGCAUGAAAAUGUGAUUGCUACACCACAUCUUGGCGCCAGCACGAUGGAAGCUCAGGAAGGAGUUGCUAUUGAAAUAGCUGAAGCUGUGGUGGGUGCGCUAAAGGGGGAACUCGCUGCAACUGCUGUCAAUGCACCUAUGGUGCCUGCUCAGGUUCUCACCGAGCUGAAGCCCUAUGUUGCCCUUGGUGAAAAGCUUGGCAGGCUUGCUGUUCAGUUAGUUGCAGGUGGGGACGGCGUGAAAUCUGUGAAAGUUACAUAUGCAUCUGCAAGGGCGCCAGACGAUCUGGACACGAGGUUGCUCCGAUCCAUGAUCACCAAGGGUCUGAUAGAGCCCAUCUCAAGCGUCUUCGUGAAUUUGGUGAAUGCUGAUUUCACAGCCAAACAGAGAGGACUCCGCAUAACUGAAGAACGUAUCAUCCUGGACGGCUCACCUGAAAACCCACUCGAGUCUGUCCAAGUCCAAAUUGCAAAUGUGGAGUCAAAAUUCGCCAGUGCCAUCUCUGAUUCUGGUGAGGUCACAGUUGAAGGUCGGGUCAAGGACGGAAUUCCACAUCUAACGAAGGUGGGGUCUUUUGAAGUGGACGUGAGCUUGGAAGGCAGUCUGAUUUUGUGCAGGCAAGUCGAUCAGCCAGGAAUGAUUGGGAAAGUGGGUAGCAUUCUAGGAGAGGAAAACGUGAAUGUGAGCUUCAUGAGCGUUGGAAGGAUAGCCCCGAGGAAGCAAGCUGUGAUGGCCAUUGGAGUAGAUGAAGAACCAAGCAAGCAGUCGUUGAAGAGGAUUGGUGAAAUCUCGGCCGUUGAGGAAUUCGUCUACCUUAAGCUCUAAGUCGUGUAUCUCCCCAGUUGGCAGUGGUCAUCUCAUCAAAUUUUGUUACCAGGAGAGUAUGCUCCUAAUGAUAAAAUGCAUGAGAAGGCAUUCAGUUUCCAUAAAGUAGAGACCAUCCCAUUCCUUCCCUUACAUUCAUGUUAUGGCCACCACGGGACAAACUAACGCGGUGGCGGCCUGGGCCGCGGCUGCAUUGGUGGGGGCGAUUCUCUGCAUGGUGAUCCCAGGGACUGGGGCGCAGGGGAUGCUACCGGAGGUCGAAAUAACGCUGGCAAACGACGGGCAGACCCCGGUGUGGUUCAUGUGCCAGUUGACGCACAAGGGAGACUCGUUGUACGAGCUGGCACCAAACAGCACGUACCGGUUCAGCUUCACGCACGUGGCUUUCCCUAUGCGGUGGUGCUACCUGUACAUCCAUCCGGGCAGUCAUGGGUUCUUCUGGGUGUACACGGUGCGAUCGAGGUGCACCAAGUGCUUCUGGAGCAUCGACAGGCACCCGUCCCUCUACCGCAACGACAUCGGCCGUUGGGAGAGGCAGAAGCUCUUCAUGCCGCCUUCUUUCAAUAUCUCUAAUUUCUUGGUUACUGCUAUUUAAUCUGCCAGAUAGUCGUUAAGAUUCAUUGGUUUUGUUUCUUUCCAUCA